rnacentral:pre_miRNA from 1 species
AAUAGAUGACGUCGUUGACUUUUUCUCACACGUUUGACCAUUCGUCUUAUUCAAAAAAUUAUGUAAUUAGAAUUUAUUUUGCUAUGAGUUGUUUUAUCACCAUAAUACUUUAAGUGUGAUUUAUAUCUUAUACAUUUGCAUAAAUUUUUUUGAAUAAAACGAAUGGUCAAACAUGUGAGAAAAAGUCAACGGCGUCAUCUAUU